rnacentral:rRNA from 1 species
GACGUAGGGCGCGAGCGUUGUCCGGAUUUAUUGGGCGUAAAGAGCUCGUAGGCGGCUUGUCGCGUCGACUGUGAAAUCCCGCGGCUCAACUGCGGGUCUGCAGUCGAUACGGGCAGGCGUAGAGUUCGGUAGGGGAGACGUGGAAUUCCUGGUGUAGCGGUGAAAUGCGCAGAUAUCAGGAGGAACACCGGUGGCGAAGGCGGGUCUCUGGGGCCGAUACUGACGCUGAGGAGCGAAAGCAUGGGGAGCAAACAGG